rnacentral:rRNA from 1 species
UACGAAGGGGGGCUAGCGUUACUCGGAAUCACUGGGCGUAAAGCGCACGUAGGCGGAUUGUUAAGUCAGGGGUGAAAUCCUGGAGCUCAACUCCAGAACUGCCUUUGAUACUGGCGAUCUUGAGUCCGGGAGAGGUGAGUGGAACUGCGAGUGUAGAGGUGAAAUUCGUAGAUAUUCGCAAGAACACCAGUGGCGAAGGCGCUCACUGGCCCGGUACUGACGCUGAGGUGCGAAAGCGUGGGGAGCAAACAGG